UGCUGACGAGUUCCAAACAGGACGAAACAGCUGUCCA
rnacentral:hammerhead_ribozyme from 1 species